AGCAGUCGCCACGGUAAUACGUAGGUGGCAAGCGUUGUCCGGAAUUAUUGGGCGUAAAGGGCUCGCAGGCGGUUUCUUAAGUCUGAUGUGAAAGCCCCCGGCUCAACCGGGGAGGGUCAUUGGAAACUGGGAAACUUGAGUGCAGAAGAGGAGAGUGGAAUUCCACGUGUAGCGGUGAAAUGCGUAGAGAUGUGGAGGAACACCAGUGGCGAAGGCGACUCUCUGGUCUGUAACUGACGCUGAGGAGCGAAAGCGUGGGGAGCGAACAGGAUUAGAUACCCCGGUAGUCCCUGUCUCUUAUAC
rnacentral:rRNA from 1 species